AGUCGANCGGGAAUCUUCGGAUUCUAGUGGCGGACGGGUGAGUAACGCGUAAGAAUCUAACUUCAGGACGGGGACAACAGUUGGAAACGACUGCUAAUACCCGAUGUGCCGCAAGGUGAAACCUAAUUGGCCUGAAGAAGAGCUUGCGUCUGAUUAGCUAGUUGGUGGGGUAAGAGCCUACCAAGGCGACGAUCAGUAGCUGGUCUGAGAGGAUGAGCAGCCACACUGGGACUGAGACACGGCCCAGACUCCUACGGGAGGCAGCAGUGGGGAAUUUUCCGCAAUGGGCGAAAGCCUGACGGAGCAACGCCGCGUGAGGGAGGAAGGUCUUUGGAUUGUAAACCUCUUUUCUCAAGGAAGAAGUUCUGACGGUACUUGAGGAAUCAGCCUCGGCUAACUCCGUGCCAGCAGCCGCGGUAAUACGGGGGAGGCAAGCGUUAUCCGGAAUUAUUGGGCGUAAAGCGUCCGCAGGUGGUCAGCCAAGUCUGCCGUCAAAUCAGGUUGCUUAACGACCUAAAGGCGGUGGAAACUGGCAGACUAGAGAGCAGUAGGGGUAGCAGGAAUUCCCAGUGUAGCGGUGAAAUGCGUAGAGAUUGGGAAGAACAUCGGUGGCGAAAGCGUGCUACUGGGCUGUAUCUGACACUCAGGGACGAAAGCUAGGGGAGCGAAAGGGAUUAGAUACCCCUGUAGUCCUGGCCGUAAACGAUGGAUACUAGGCGUGGCUUGUAUCGACCCGAGCCGUGCCGAAGCUAACGCGUUAAGUAUCCCGCCUGGGGAGUACGCACGCAAGUGUGAAACUCAAAGGAAUUGACGGGGGCCCGCACAAGCGGUGGAGUAUGUGGUUUAAUUCGAUGCAACGCGAAGAACCUUACCAAGACUUGACAUGUCGCGAACCCUGGUGAAAGCUGGGGGUGCCUUCGGGAGCGCGAACACAGGUGGUGCAUGG
rnacentral:rRNA from 1 species